GGCAGAGAGAAAGUGUGUGUGUGUGCACACACGCACGUGCACACACACACAUGCACGCACAAGGCAGAGGGAGUGGCAGGGGAGAGGGAGAAGCAGACCCCCUUGCUGAGCAGAGACCCCAAGGUGGGGCUCGAUCUCAGGACCAUGGAAUCAUGACCAGAGAUGAAGGAAGACGCUUAACUGACUGAGCCAUCCAGGCGCAACUUAUAAUCACUCUCUUAAAAACAAAAACUAAAAUGUAUCCAUCAUUCAGAGAUCGGAUAGAGUUCAAGUGCACUGCAGAAAGAAGAAAUAACUAUGAGGUAUAAGUAACUAUUCACUCCAGCAAUUAGACUGGUAGGUCUUAGGAAAGGGAACUCUCGGCCACUAUAUAAUUUUUCCUGGGGCCGAUCCUAAUAAAAUCACCUGACCGUAUAAGGGAUGGCCCUAAAUUUCAGUGGAAUCCCAACCAUACAGCCCCUUCGAGAGAGCAUACUCUCAAAUUGGUCUUUGUACCUAUUUGUAGAAAUGUUAGCCAGAUUAUAGCUGAAAACUCUGCUAAUUCUGGGGACGUUUCUGGUCUUGUGCCUGGAGCUGUUGAAGCAUAUAUUCACACCUACCACAUGUAACACUCAGUAGCAUCAUUUCCAGCACCACACUUUCCUACUUUAUUUUUAAAAGAAACAGAGCAGACACUGAAGACCUGCUCACUCUGUUGCUUUUUCCAGGAGGCUCCAUAAAAGGUGGAAGGGAUGGCUUCUGUGCUGAAAAGAGGCAUAUUUUGCUUUUUUAAAAGGAAAGGGGACACAGAAACCUUUGCUCAGAAUCAGGGAGCUCAUGCUGAAACAUAUAACAUUGGUACCUGCAUGCUAAUAAAAUAAUAAUAAUAAUAAUAAUGUCCCACUUACAAGGUUCUUGGAGCAUAGUGUAGCAAUUAAUUAAUUCCAAUAUGAGAGCUGGGGAAAGAUGUUAAAAGCGUCGUACUCUAGCCUCUUUUUUCUAAGACAAGGAAAGGGAGGUUCUGAAAUGUUUAAUGACUCGCCUCAGACCAACACUCCACCUCAAAUCCAGGUCUUUUCUCUCAGGUCAGGGGACGUCCCACCCCACCGGGCUACUACUAAACAGGCAUUGUGCUGUUGGCCUAAAUUGCACGUAAAACAACAACAAAACCCCUCUCUCUCUCCGCCAGAGUCUCUAUUUAGACUCCAGAGUUGAGAAAGCAAAGGCUCUUUCAACUUCAACUCCCUUAGCAAACAGAAGAAAAGGCAUCCGACUGACCCGGGGACUUUUCCCGCUGGACCCUGGGUCUCCCCGACAGCGAGCGGUGCUGACUGCCAGUUUGACACCAGGGGGCGCAGCAUCCUUUGUCCUGACAGGCAUUGAAGGCGGCCUCCGAAGGCUUGGCUGGGCCUCAAAAAAAAAAAAAAAAAUCUGACUUUCCCUCCUUUCACGGUUUCUUUCUGGAAGCGGCCCACCCCUUAGCCCCCCUCAUUCAUCUUAAGACCAUUUUUUUUUCUUCCUCCCCGGACGCUCAGAUUCUCCCCUCCAUACCAUCUCAGAUUUGCGCAUGUUUUAGGGUCUUGUGCAUGUUUCUAGAAGGGCUUUUCAGAGUCACCAGCCCCUCCCCAGCUGCUCCUCUCCUGCAAAGCCCUGGAACCCAUGGCCACGGCCUAUCGUUUGCUGUCAACUGGAGGGCCCCCCCUACCACCACCAAUUCAGGAUUUUCUAGCAAUUCUUCCAGAAUGAAAAAACUCUCAAGGACAGGACUAGCUUUUUCUGAAAGAAUUAUCACAUGCAUCCUCUAAAAUCCCUCUCCUUCCCACUCACAAAAAUAGUAACAAACAACUGAAAUUACUGGUUCUGGAAAGCUCACGCAGCCCAGCAUUCACCCUCACUGCCCUCUGUCUGCUCCUGAGCCUCUAAUAUCAGCCUUUGGUGGGGGACACCUACCCAAAGGACAGGCUGAGUCAUCCUUUCAGCCACACUUCUUACCGACCCACUGUGCACUCCAAGCAGGAUAAGCGCCUCCUUCCGCCCUCACCAACUUGGCUCUAUGUGUUCUCCAGCAGAAGGAAAUCCACUUCAUAUUCACCGAAGUCUCUGAUUCCAAAGACUCAGUGUUCCCAUGUUUCACAGAUAAAUGAACAUCCCCUACCACUUUAAGACACACUUCUAUGCCUGCUUCUAUAGACACAACACACCCAAAAUGCAAACGCCCAUACCUGACAAACAUGCCCUUUUGCAAAGAGCCCUAAACAUUCACUAUUUUGAACUGAAGGACCACAGGGUCCUCACCAGGCCUUUGAAAAGCCGCUGCCCUAGUUACAUGAAGAGAUUUCGAGUUUACAGUCUUCACCCCUGCUCGCAUUGGAGCUGCUCAACAACCCAGAGGGACGACAGGCAGGGAAAUAUGAAGCUUCAGAAACUUGCCCCAGUCCCAGAGCUAGCACAGGUUGCAGGCAGCACUGGGGUGACAGCAGCUAGGCGACAGGGGCCCAAGGAAAGUUAUCUGUCCAGUUGCACUGGGCAGACCUAGAAGGGAUGCAGCCCUCACAAAUGAUCAGGGUACCUGUGCCAAGAGAGUUAUGGUCUCAGCUCCUGAAAAACUGUGGCAUUAGCAGGUACAAGUGGAGAGGAAAGGAAAGGGUCAUGUGAACUCUGACCUGAUCUUUCUCUUUAUCUGUGACCUCACUCAUGUCUCACUGCUCCCCACUGGCCUUGGCUAUCGUAGAGUGAUGGCAGUGCUGGGUCUGGACAGGUAGCCGCAGCAGGUUAUCUUGACUGGGAGCCUCCCACUCCUCCUUCAGAAAGCAGUGGUAACAUCUAUUAGAUCUGGCAAAGGGGGCAGAGCACGAGAUUUACUUUCAGUUUAGGCCCUUUUGUAUUAUUUGAAGUAUUUGGAUUUAUGUAAAUGUUACUCUUAUAAUUAAAAAAAUUUUUAUUGGGGCUAAUAAUGCUCUUUAGAGUUGCUGUAAUAAUAACCUAUGUAAAGUGUCUGGCACCGCACAUGGUCUGGCACACCGUGGAUGCUUCCUGAACAGUAGUGCAUUGUUAGCCACACCAGCCUCAAAACGGAGCAAACAGACUUCAAAUCAAGAAUCCUAGGGUCUGGAGCAUACUCUGCCCUCAGCUCACCAUAUGCCCUUGGGUAAGUCAAGUCCCUGCUCUGUGCCUCAGUUCCCUCCUCUAUAAAAUUACAAGAUAUGGUCCAAUUGAAUUGGAAAAUAAUGGGAAGGCUAGAGAGCCAAGUUCACCACCAGAAGUGCCCGAGGCACCCUCUAAAAUGCAGCCAGUCUCUGCAGAGGAGGCCUCCCAAGCUGGAGCUCAUCAGGCACAAAUCCUUCCCUUCCUAGAAGAAGCUGGCCUCUAGGGUAGGCAGAAAGGGCUGGAGACAGCUGAGCAAGUUCUGGAGAUAAUACAGAAAUUAAGUUAGGACACAAAAAUGCGUGAACACCAUGCAAAGCCAUCAACUUAGGUAGGCGCCGGGGAGAGAAGGUUCAGGUUAUUCCUUGGGUGCAGUGGGCACCAUGAUCAUUCCCAGAGAGAUGUCCUUGGUUGAUGGAGGGGGUGCAAUUUAGAAGCGAUCUCCUGGCCCAGUCAGAGCCAGCCCCAGGUGGGUAGGAUGAAGAGUUCUCCGUGAGGCACAGGGGCUAGCUUUGGUGAGACCAGGCUCUCCCCUUAACACCAUCAGAAGCAGAGCAGCCCUUUGGAUAAAGUCAGAAGGAACCUGCUGCCCCAGAGAAUUGGACUAAAGCACCUCUGAAACUUUGUCCAUUUUAUCUUAAUGACAACAAUGGAAAAGUGGAGAAACAGCCAUAGAAAGUGCAGUUGAUCAGGCACUAAAACAGGGGAGACCUGUAUUGGGGCACCCCAGCUCCUGAUAAUCAAAUAGAGAUUUGUUCCUGGAACACACAGCUGAUUCAUUUCCCAUCCUGCUCCAAAAUCGGAGGUUUUCCUUAUAAAUCUCCUUUGCCAGUGCUUGGGCUUUGGGGACCAGAGGCAGGUAGUCUGGUGGGUAGGAAGGUUGUGACUUUCUUUUCGCCCCGGUCUUCUUCCUAUUUAAAGCAGCACCGCCUGUCGUAGCCUCGUCUUGCCAAUAUUUGCAGGCAGGAAGAUUUCCUGACAUUGUAAGGGGGGGGGGGGGUGGCAAUCAGAACAGAUGGGAGGCCCUUUCCCAAGGCCAUCAGGCAGGGCAGAAAUCGGUUCACCCGCACCUCAGGAGGAAGCACCAGCCCCCAUUGUCACGGUCAACACUCAGAAGGUAUCUGCGUUUAUAUUUCAAGAAAAAAAAAAAA
rnacentral:lncRNA from 1 species